rnacentral:lncRNA from 1 species
CCUCUUGCUCUUGACCUACACAUCAAGAGCCGAAAUAGUCUCAUGAGUCGAUUUAUGUUCGGCCCCCGAGGAUGCCAAGUUGUCGGUAAGUCGGAAAACCUCCUCCUGAAGUUUAGCUUCCCACUCCACCACCGACUUGAGUUGUUCAAGCAUGAUCGCCUUCUCAGCAUCAGCGGCCACCACCUUAUUCUUCCACGCACUCUGAAUGUUGGCAAACUUUAUGUAGCCAGUC